GAGGGACCUGGUGGAAGAUCUUUUGAAUCAUGGGAGCAGUUUUGCCCAUAUUGUUUUCAUGGUAGUGAAUAAGUGUCACGAGAUCUGAUGGUUUUAUCAGGGGUUUCUGCUUUUGCAUCUUCCCCAUUUUCUCUUGCUCCCACCAUGUAAGAAGUGCCUUUUGCUUCCCACCAUGAUUCUGAGGCCUCCCCAGCCAUGUGGAACUGUAAGUCCAAUUACACUUCUUUUUCUACCCAGUCCAGGUAUAUCUUUGUCAGCAGCAUGAAAAUGGACUAAUACAGUCACAAACACAUAGAACUUAGCAAUUGAUGAAACUUACACAUACAGAAUAUCACUCGUUUGCCUGAGGAAAAUUCACAUCUUAAUUACUUUGAGGAAAUCUCCAAGUGCACUGACAUUAUCAAUAGGUCAGUACAGGUCAUUCCUUGCUACCUGUAGAAAUGGACGCCCACCGUACCUGAUGCCAAUGAAACACAACUGUGGCACUCAAUGCUGGAGACCUGUGAUGCUUUUGUGAAUAGAGAGGCAGAUGGAUCCCUCUGCUUAUGCUACAAUAAAUCUGCUCGUAUACAAAAGUAUACAGAGGGUAGUGAGGCACCUCUAUCAUUUCACAUACAUUCAGUCCCAUCCUCAGAAAGCACAACUAUCUUCAGUAUAGCUAGGCUAGCUUGACCUGUGGCUUGUCCUCCAUUUCCAUAGUUGGCAAAUGUUAGACCUGUGUAUACCACCAGCAAGUCUCCUUCUUCCCUAUUGGGAAGUUCCACCUCUAGGGAGAUUCUCAUUAUCCUUCCAGCAAUCUGGUUUCCUUUAUUGCCCUGCCAGUCCAUCAGACGUAUGUGAAUAUGGCAGAAGAUGAAUGGAGAACAGGGACUAUGUGUCCCCUGCAGCAAACUUCUCAGCCCCUUUGCAAAUUAGUGGUUACAAAUGGGGAGGAUGGAGUUUGUACAACUUCAUCAGCAUUGGAGCUCUCUCUUUCACCCAUCUAAGACAAGUUGUUACUUACAUUCACAUCACUUCUGUGAAGUUUGAAGGGAUUCUAAAAGAAUCAAUUUAAAAUAAAAAUGAACAGUUAAAUAACUUGUCCAAAAGCACAUAGCACAUGAGUGAACGUGAUGAGCUUUAAAUCUAGAUAUAACUGACUUCAGACGUAUAUUCUUUAUAUAACAACUUUAUUGAGGUGUACUUGUGCAAUACACUGCACAUACUUAGUGUGUACAUUUUUGUAAGUUUUGGUAUGCUAUACACCCAUGAAAUUAUCACCACAGGAAAAUAAGCAUAUAUAUAUAUAUAUAUAAAACAAAAGUUCCCUCAUGUCUUUCUUUCUGCCCCUCCCUGACCACCACCCUCUGCAUCUCAGGCAACUAUUCAUCUAUUUUCUGUCUAUUGAUUAGUUUGCAUUUCCUAGAAUUUUAUAACAAUGAACAUUCAUAGCACACACUUUUUCCCUCAAUUUCUCUCAUUUAGCAUGAUUGAGAUUAUGUUGUUUGUAUACAAACAGUUCAUUCCAUUUAUUGCAUAACAGGGUUCCAUUAUACUGAUAUGACUAUUUAUUCAUUCACCAAUUAAUGAAUAUUUGGGUUGUUUCCAGUUUGGAACCAUUGCAAAUAAAGCUCCUAUAAUCAUUAAAGUGCAAAAUGCAAUCUUCAUUUGAAGAUAAUAUGCUUUUAUUUCUCUUGGAUAACACAGUGGGUGUAUGUUUAAUUUCUUAAGAAACUGCAACACUGUUUUUCAAUGUGGUUCUACCAUUCUACAUUCACACCAGCAGUGUUGAGAAUUCUAAUUCCUCUACAUCUCAACCAAUACUUG
rnacentral:lncRNA from 1 species